rnacentral:rRNA from 1 species
CGUCCAGACUCCUACGGGAGGCAGCAGUGAGGAAUAUUGGUCAAUGGCCGAGAGGCUGAACCAGCCAAGUCGCGUGAGGGAUGACGGCCCUACGGGUUUUAAACCUCUUUUGUCGGGGAGCAAAGAGAGUCACGUGUGACUCAUUGAGAGUACCCGAAGAAAAAGCAUCGGCUAACUCCGUGCCAGCAGCCGCGGUAAUACGGAGGAUGCGAGCGUUAUCCGGAUUUAUUGGGUUUAAAGGGUGCGCAGGCGGAGGUGCAAGUCAGCGGUCAAAUUGCGGGGCUCAACCCCGUACUGCCGUUGAAACUGCAUCCCUUGAGUGCGCGAGAAGUAUGCGGAAUGCGUGGUGUAGCGGUGAAAUGCAUAGAUAUCACGAAGAACGCCGAUUGCGAAGGCAGCUUACCAGUCUGCGACUGACGCUCAGGCACGAAAGUGUGGGUAUCGAACAGGAUUAGAUACCCUGGUAACU